rnacentral:SRP_RNA from 1 species
GCUGGGUGUGGUGGCUCACGCCUGUAAUCCUAGAGCUUUAGGAGGCUGAGGCAGGUGGACCACCUGAGGUCAGGGGUUAAAGACCAGCCUGGUGAAACCCCCUCUACUAAAAAUACAAAAAUUANNNNNNNNNNGCCUCAGCCUCCCAAGUAGCUGGGAUUACAGGUGCCACCAUGCCCGGCUAAUUUUUGUAUUUUUAGUAGAGGGGGUUUCACCAGGCUGGUCUUUAACCCCUGACCUCAGGUGGUCCACCUGCCUCAG